UACGGGGGGGGGCAAGCGUUUGUUCGGAAUUACUGGGCGUAAAGGGCUCGUAGGUGGCCAACUAAGUCAGACGUGAAAUCCCCCGGCUCAACCGGGGAAGUGGCGUGGAUACGACGAGUCUGGAGGGGCAUAGGGGGGACCUGGAACUUCCGGUGGAGCGGUGAAAUGCGUUGAGAUCGGAAGGAACGCCCGUGGCGAAAGCGAGGUCCUGGACGCCUACUGACGCUGAGACGCGAAAGCCAGGGGAGCGAACGGG
rnacentral:rRNA from 1 species